rnacentral:tRNA from 1 species
GGCCCUGUCGUCUAGGGGCCUAGGACACGGCACUUUCACUGCCGCGACACGGGUUCGAAUCCCGUCAGGGUCA